rnacentral:lncRNA from 1 species
GAAGGAAAGGGACCUCGGUUAGGAAAAAGGACAAAUUAGUAAUUUGCUACAUGUGAAUUUACAGAGGAAGAGGUUCUAUUUCAAAUGUCAAAAGUAAAGACAAAUAAGUCAAUGGGGCCUGAUGGAAUACACCCAAAGUUAUUAAAAGAGCUUAGUGGUGUACUAGCAAAACCAUUAACAGAUUUAUUUAACAAAUCAUUGUUAACAGAAGUAGUCCCAGAAGUCAGCAAAUGUUAUGCACAUUCACAAGAAAGGUAGUAGGGAGGAGUCGGGCAACUAUAGGCCAGUAAGCCUUACUUCAGUAGCGGGGAAAAAUGGAAACCAUGUUAAAGGAUAGGAUUGUUGAACAUUUAAAAUCACAUGGAUUUAAAGGUCAGAGACAACAUGGGUUUACUUCAGGGAGAUCAUGCCAAACUAAUCUUAUUUUUUUUUUAUUGGGUAACUAAAAUAAUAGAUCAGGGGGGUGCAGUAGACAUUGCUUACCUAGAUUUCAGUAAGGCUUUUUGACACUGUUACAAAUAGAAGGCUUAUCAAUAAACUGCAAUCUUUAAGUUUAGAUUCAAAUAUUGCUGAAUGGGUAAGGCAGUGGCUGAGUGACAGGCAACAGAGGGCUGUAGUCAAUGGAAUAUAUUCGAAGCAUGGGUACCUCAGGGAUUUGUACUUGGACCCAUUCUCUUAAAUAUUUUUAUUAGUGAUAAUGCAGAAGGUCUUGAUGGUAAGGUAUGUAUUUUUGCUGAUGAUACUAAGAUAUGUAACAGGGAUAAAGGAUAAGCCAAAUGGCAAAGGAUUUAGGUAAACUAGAAAAAUUGUCAGAGUUGUUGCAAUUGACAUUUAAUGUGGAUAAGUGCAAGAUAAUGCAUCUUGGACAUAAAAAAACAAGGGCAGAGUACAGAAUAUUUCACAGAGUCCUAACCUCAACAUCUGAGGAAAGGGAUUUAGGGGUGGUUAUUUCUGAUGACAUAAAGGUAGGCAGACAAUGUUAUAGAGAAGCAGGAAAUGCUUGGUUGUAUAAGGAGAGGUAUUAGCAGUAGAAAUAGAGAAGUGCUCAUGCCAUUGUACAGAACAUUGGUAAGACCUCACUUGGAGUAUUGUACGCAGUACUGGAGAUGGUAACUCCAGAAGGAUAAUGAUACUUUAGAGAGAGUUCAGAGAAGGGCUACUAAACUGGUUCAUGGAUUGCAGAAUAAAACUUACCAGGAAAGGUUAAUGGAUCUUAACAUGUAUAGUUUGGAGGAAAGAUAAGACAGGGGGAUAGGAAACAUUUAAACACAUAAAAGAAAUCAACACUGUAAAUGAGGAGACUAUAUGUAAAAGAAGAAAAACUUCCACAACAAGAGGACAAAGUCUUACAUUAGAGGGGCAAAGGUUUAAAAAUAAUAUCAGGAAGUAUUACUUUACUGAGAGGGUGGCGAAUGCAUGGAAUAGCCUUCCAGCUGAAGUGGUAGAGGUUAACACAGUGAAGAAAUUCAAGCAUGCGUGGAAUAGGCAUAAGGUUAUCCUAGCUAUAAGAUAAGGCCAGGGACUCACAAAAGUAUUUAGAAAAUUCUGCAGACUAGAUGGGCCAAAUUGUUCUUAUCUGCCGUCACAUUCUAUGUUUCUAUAUUUCUAUGAUAUAUUGUAAAAUAUGGCACCCCAAACUUAAUCAAUAUUCAAGUUUGCUGAUUGACAUUUUCAUGAACACAGGUAUAAAAAAUAGCAAAUAAAACUCUAAAAGAGGGACGUUUGAUAAAUAAAGUGCUUGUUAAUUUUUACAAAGUGAAUAGCAGCUUUUGUGUGGAAAUACCUUAUCAGCCACACUACAAUUGAAUCGAAAAACCAUGUUAUAGUCAAUUGAGGAAGCGCGAGAGAAUGAAACACAUUUUGGCAUCAGUUUGAAGGACUUAUUUAUUUGUUAAG